rnacentral:rRNA from 1 species
UACGGGGGGGGCAAGCGUUGUUCGGAAUUACUGGGCGUAAAGGGCCAGUAGGCGGCCAACUAAGUCCGACGUGAAAUCCCCAGGCUUAACCUGGGAACUGCGUCGGAUACUGGAUGGCUUGAAUUCGGGAGAGGGAUGCAGAAUUCCAGGUGUAGCGGUGAAAUGCGUAGAUAUCUGGAGGAAUACCGGUGGCGAAGGCGGCAUCCUGGACCGACAUUGACGCUGAGGAGCGAAAGCUAGGGGAGCAAACGGG